GAUAAUCGCCUAUGCAGUACUUAUCCAAUAGGAGGCUUGUACCUAUUUGCUUAGUUAAAUCCAGGUGGCGACGUUUUUUUUGGCCAGGCAGUGUAUUGUGCUUUUUGAUUUUACACGACAAGUCCAACGUAUCAAACCUUAUCACCUGCAAGUGUCUGUAAAAAAAAAAAAAAAACAGUGGUAAUAAUUAAUCAGCUAUAGUAAAUGCAGUAUUUAAGGCUUGGGUGAAGUGAACCCACAAAGCUGAUCUGUAGAGACCGAGCACAGAGAUCAAAAUGUUUUUCUGAGCAUUGCUGCUAAUCUGCUCUCUUUCCAGCGCUCAGCUGCAUGCUGCCGCCGAAAAUGAAAUCAGGCAAACUGGAUCACAGGAAGGAGACGCAGAAAAUCUUUCAAAUAAUCAACAAACCUUUACGCAGGACAUCAACGCUGUGCUGAGAGAGAUGAGCGCCUCACUGGCUGGACUGAAGGUGGAGCUCAGGUGCUUACAGAAAGAUCAUGAUGCGAAGGUGAGCGAACUGGAGUUGCAAAAGACUGAGGUGGAAAAGUUGAAACAACAGUACCAAG